rnacentral:lncRNA from 1 species
CUGCAUCCUGACUGCUGGGCUGUAAUCACACCUGCAGACAAUGGUCUUUUACCGUUCUGGCUUCUGGCAUGUCUUCCCAGGAAGACUGUAGGCAAGGUGAGGGCAGGCAUGCAGAGAACAAUGCUUAGCACAAAGUCAACACACUCAGUAGCACACAGUAGGUGCUUAAAAAUGUCCUUCCUUUUUCUCCCUCCAUCCUUCCUUUUUGUACCUGUGUUGAAAGCAGCAUAAUCACCAUAGGCUAAAGCUGCAGGGUUCCACUGACUUUCAUUCUAUGGGUCAGUAUGACUAGAUAUCAACAAAGUGAGAUUUUUUAGGGAUUAAAGAAGCUGGUUUCCAUGAAUGUGCUUCUCAGUUGAGUUGAUGGAUGACUCUGGUUCAGUAUUCCAUGAAACCAUAUGGGUAGCUACACAGUAAAGCAGAAUGUCUCCUGUAUUGUGCUCUGAUGGGAUGGGGGAACAGGGGCAGGCAGAGGGGGUUAUAUCAGGCUGCAGGGGUGGUCCCUCUCCCUGAGGAGGUCAAAAACAAAAAGAUUCGGGGAGUUCCUAUGUGCACAGCAGAAUCCGACUAGUCUACAUGAGGAUGUAGGUUUGAUCCCUGGCCUCACUCAGUGGGUCAGGGAUCCUGCAUUGCUGUGGCUGUGGUGUAGGCCGGUGGUUGUAGCUCUGAUUUGACCCCUAGCCUGGGAACUUCCAUAUGCCGUAAGUGCAGCCCUAAAAAAGCAAAAAAAAAAAAAAAAAAAAAGAGUUCCAAGUUGCCGAUUCAGAUCCUUGUGACUAUCAGCUAAUGGAGAUUGUGGGGCCCAUGUGAUUAUGACUCCCCUCUUUCAGGCAGUUGUAUAUAUUGGUGCAUGUACAAGGAAGAGGCAGAGAGCACUCUCACACUGAGUCAUCAGAGGAGCAUUUAGUAAAGGUUUGAUGGCAAAGUGUGGGUAGGGUUUAGGAAAUCAGAGUCCUGCAGUACCCUGGGCUGGCAGCCCCCUGGCCUGAAGACCCAGCAGGAGGCCAGAGGUCAAGGGAGUCCAUUGGAAUAGUUCCUACAGGUCAAUGUCCUGAACUUGGCCCACCUGAAGGUCCUAAAGUGAUCUCUCUCCUGCACUACUUGGUUUGUGCCACUCAGGGCAUGCUCACACCGCCUGCUUUGGAGUACCAUGUUGGUGAAAACCCUGUGUCCUUGGAGAAAGCUGGUUCCCGUUUUCCUGAGAGGGAGCCCAGAGCUUGAAAGGCCGCAGUUGGCACUUCAAGAAGGAAGUGGAGAAUAAAGACAGCGCCUGGAGCA